AGUGAACGCUGGCGGUAGGCCUAACACAUGCAAGUCGAACGGCAGCACAGUAAGAGCUUGCUCUUACGGGUGGCGAGUGGCGGACGGGUGAGGAAUACAUCGGAAUCUACUUUUUCGUGGGGGAUAACGUAGGGAAACUUACGCUAAUACCGCAUACGACCUACGGGUGAAAGCAGGGGAUCUUCGGACCUUGCGCGAUUGAAUGAGCCGAUGUCGGAUUAGCUAGUUGGCGGGGUAAAGGCCCACCAAGGCGACGAUCCGUAGCUGGUCUGAGAGGAUGAUCAGCCACACUGGAACUGAGACACGGUCCAGACUCCUACGGGAGGCAGCAGUGGGGAAUAUUGGACAAUGGGCGCAAGCCUGAUCCAGCCAUACCGCGUGGGUGAAAAAGGCCUUCGGGUUGUAAAGCCCUUUUGUUGGGAAAGAAAAGCAGCAGGUUAAUACCCCGCUGUUCUGACGGUACCCAAAGAAUAAGCACCGGCUAACUUCGUG
rnacentral:rRNA from 1 species